rnacentral:rRNA from 1 species
GACGAACGCUGGCGGCGCGCCUAACACAUGCAAGUCGAGCGAUGAAAUUUUAACCGAUCUCUUCGGAGAGAAGAUAAAAUGGAUUAGCGGCGGACGGGUGAGUAACACGUGAGAAACCUGCCUUUCACAAGGGGAUAGCCUCGGGAAACCGGGAUUAAUACCCUAUGACACAUUUCCUUCGCAUGGAAGAAAUGUUAAAACUCCGGUGGUGAAAGAUGGUCUCGCGCCUGAUUAGCUAGUUGGUGGGGUAACGGCCCACCAAGGCCAUGAUCAGUAACCGGCCUGAGAGGGUGAACGGUCACAUUGGAACUGAGACACGGUCCAAACUCCUACGGGAGGCAGCAGUGGGGAAUAUUGCACAAUGGAGGAAACUCUGAUGCAGCGACGCCGCGUGAGCGAUGAAGGCUUUCGAGUCGUAAAGCUCUGUCCUAUGGGAAGAUAAUGACGGUACCAUAGGAGGAAGCCCCGGCUAACUACGUGCCAGCAGCCGCGGUAAU